rnacentral:rRNA from 1 species
AUUGAACGCUGGCGGCAUGCUUUACACAUGCAAGUCGAACGGUAGGGUAGCAAUACCUGAGAGUGGCGAACGGGUGAGUAAUGCAUCGGAACAUGCCUAUUUGUGGGGGAUAGCCCGGCGAAAGCCGGAUUAAUACCGCAUACGAUCUACGGAUGAAAGCUGGGGACCGCAAGGCCUAGCGCAAAUAGAGUGGCCGAUGUCAGAUUAGCUAGUUGGUGGGGUAAAGGCUCACCAAGGCAACGAUCUGUAGCUGGUUUGAGAGAACGACCAGCCACACUGGGACUGAGACACGGCCCAGACUCCUACGGGAGGCAGCAGUGGGGAAUUUUGGACAAUGGGCGCAAGCCUGAUCCAGCAAUGCCGCGUGCAGGAUGAAGGCCUUCGGGUUGUAAACUGCUUUUGUACGGAACGAAACGGCUCUGGUUAAUACCCGGGGCUAAUGACGGUACCGUAAGAAUAAGCACCGGCUAACUACGUGCCAGCCGCCGCAGUAAGAC